rnacentral:misc_RNA from 1 species
CCAAUAGCGUAUAUUAAAGUUGUUGCAGUUAAAAAGCUCGUAGUUGAAUUUCGGGAUUGACGUGAUGGUCAUGCCUUAAGGGGUAUGAACUGUCGCUGUUGAUUUCUCACCUUCUGGAGAAACUUGAUGUCCUUUAUUGGGUGUCUUGCGGAUCCAGGACCUUUACCUUGAAAAAAUUAGAGUGUUUAAAGCAGGCAUUUUUGCUCGAAUACAUUAGCAUGGAAUAAUAGAAUAGGACGGCAUGGUUCUAUUUUGUUGGUUUCUAGGAUCACCGUAAUGAUUAAUAGGGAUAGUUGGGGGCAUUAGUAUUCAAUUGUCAGAGGUGAAAUUCUUGGAUUUAUUGAAGACUAACUACUGCGAAAGCAUUUGCCAAGGAUGUUUUCAUUAAUCAAGAACGAAAGUUAGGGGAUCGAAGACGAUCAGAUACCGUCGUAGUCUUAACCAUAAACUAUGCCGACUAGGAAUCAGACGAUGUUAAUUUUUUAAUGACUCGCUUGGCACCUUACG